GGUGCACAGAGGAAAGGCCAUUGAGAACUCAGCAAGAAGGCAGGCAUCUGCAAGCCAAGGAGAGAGGCUUCACCAGAAACUAAUCCUGACCUUGAUUUUGGACUUCUAACCUUCCAGGACUGUGAGAAAACAAAUUUGUUAAAUCUCCCAGUCAGUGGUAUUCUGUUAUGGCAAGCCCAAGCAGACUAAGACAAGCACAGUCACUAUUGCCUAGUGAUUACCAAGUAUUUCAUAUGCAUCUCUUUUAAUCUUCAUAAUAAACCCUGAUGGUUAUCUUGGAGAAGAUAUUUGAUGUUGGUGUUGAAGAAAGUUCAGCAAUGGCUUGGCUAUGAAAUGAGAUGAAGAGUUCUGGAAGCCUGUGUAGAAAGGCUCAUAGAAGAAAGCAGGUCCUAUCAUCCAUCUGAUUUUGUGAACCUUAUACUGUUUUUAGUAUAUUUACAAGAUGGAGAAUAAGAACAAUGAGAAGAGGUAAAGCAUUAAUCAAUCUAUUCAGUAAUGCUGUACAUCUACAACAAAAGAAAACAACAGAUAAAAUUAAAACUCUUGGUCACAGAGAGGUAUAAGUAUUAAGUGAAAGUGUCAGUACAUUCCUUGACCUCAAAUGGGAAGCAAAAUUGAGAGUCAAUAGUAAGCUCCACCAUUUAAGCCAGACAUUGAAGUCCCUAAAACUAUUUCCCAGGAUAAAGGCCUCAAAUAAAACAGUUCAUAUCAGCAAUUCUGAAUAUGAAAUUCUGUUAAUUUUUUUCCAUAAAAUAUUAUCUGCACUUAGAUAUAUCUUUCAAUAGAGUUGCUGAUGAUGGAAGAAACAAAGAUGAGAAAAAAGUCACAUAGGAUUCAUAAUGAGGUAAGAAUAAAUAACAAUAUCUUUUUGUCUGAUUAGUGUUUUCCCUUUUUUAAGAGGCCACCAGCCACAGUGACUACAUGAAACACAGUAUACGUGAAAGAUGACUAUUUAUUGAGAGAGUAUUUUAAGUUUAGGAGCCAAUCACCUAGCUUCCCCCCACCUGAGCAAAGACAGUUUGCAGAGGAUGGGGUAGAUGGUGACCAUCACUGUGUGGAGGACUAUCUCAGAUUUAUCCCAUGAAGUAAAAAGUUAUCUCUUCCUUUUAUCUGGAAAUAGAUCUUUUCAUGGUGACCCUGGGCCUAAAUGAUUACCUGGAUGUGUAUCUCAAGGCACUUCACAAUUGCUUGAGCAGAAUGAGGCAUGUGCCUAUAGCUGGUUACCCAUCAGCAUACUCCCCUGGGACAUCAUCAAAAGGAAAGCCAGCAGAUGAAAGGAAAGAGAGUUUUGUCCCCUCCCCUGUGAAAGAUUCUGGAGUAGGGGAAUGCCAGGUUUACCCUGGAUCUCCAAACCUAUCCCACAUUCAGUACAUAGCACGUGGUAUAUGCUCCACAGGAGUGUGAUGAAGCAGAGAGGGAGAAAAGCAGGGAUAGGAAAAAAAAGGAUGAAAAGGGAAAUUAAUCUUCUAAGAGCUCUACAGGGUAUGUUUCUAGAACCUUCUCAGCUCUAAUGGGGAGAGACAGGCUCAUUUCAUCCUACAAGGUUGUUAAACACCCUUCCAAAAAAAUAACUGUCAACUGCAGAUCUACUUGACGUAACAGCUUGGGAACAGUCGAAUUAGAAAGUGGCCAGUUAUCCUAUAGUCUGGAGCCUAAUAUUAACGUUUUUAGAACUAUAAGGAGUCUUGGAGUCACCCAGGAUGCCUCCGAGUGGAAUGUGAUGUGACUUGCCUACUAUCACAUAGCUUGUUAGUAUUAAAGACUAAAACCUGGGUCAAAAAGUUCCCCAGCCCAGCAUUUCACACACUGCAGUUUUCCUAUAUAGAACAGAAGCAAUAGUUUGUUCUAUCCUUUCAUAUUUCCUGACCCAAGUCACUUAAUAUCUCCCUCUUCAGAAGUCCCACUAACCCUCACCUCUUCCCCUGGCACCAUGGAGCUUUAGGUUGCUAGGGAAGCAGUCCACACUGGCUCACAGAGCAUUUAUAGAAUGCACAGUUAAAACUCUUGUAAAAGCUUGGUCACUAGGCAUGAUUAAAGCAACAGGAAUUACUCUCUUAAUUGGAAUCCUAAAUUUGAGAAUAUCUUUGUAGCCACUUGUUUGCUGGAGCCAGUGCUCUUCAGACUUAAGCUAGUAUGUAAGUUCCAUGAGGGUAGGAACCAUGUCUAUCUUGGUCCUAAGUCUCCACAGUGCCUAGUAGGUACUGAACUGCCCAUUAAAUUAUUGAACAUGACCACAAGUUCUAUAUUUCAUGAUUCUAAGAACAUUCCUUGAUGUCCUCAUCUGCAAAUAACUGAGAGUAUCACUCUUCAGCCAAAUAUUUUCAAAAAUCUCUACUCUACCUAGUCUCCAUCCAAUUAACUCAACACAGAGUCUGGUCACCCACAGCACAAGCAAAGAGUUCAACUCCAUUUGACUUGAUCUGCUCUGUUAGUUAACAACCCUUACCCCCAAGUGAAUGAAGACAUACUAAGGGCUAACAUUCUAGAACUAGAAGAAAGACAUUCAAUGACUGUCCUCAUUUUCCAGCCUUAGAGUGCAGAACAGAGAUGUGUAGGCCAAUGAAUUGCUAUCUCCUUCAUGCCACUAUUUGCAGGAUCUUUACUGGAGGACAGGCUGAUCUCUGCGUCGAGAAGGACCAGGCACGAGGACCACUAGGGCAGUUUGCCUUCCACGGCAAUGUAGCAAUCCAGCUGGAGCACUCAAUUUAUAUAUUCCAGUAGGAAAAACAGGAGCCCUGCAGUAAAACAUUCCCAAGCUCCUCUCUCUUCUGAUUACUCCCUACUUUCCACCACUAGGAAUUUAUCAAACCAUUCCUUCCAGCCCACACAGAGUUUUCCCUAAAAGAAUUGUGGUAUUAUUUUCCUCUCCCUCUAUUUCAAAGGGUGUGUUAGCACACUGUGGACAUUUUACUGCCCUCAUAGCUUAGUCCUCCAAGCACUUGUCCAGCUGGUCUGUCUUUCAUCUGACCCUGAUGGCAGCCAUUACUUGAAAUGAAGAAGGCAAUAUAGUUAUAAAUUGCAGUUGAUGUUCCUUUUCUCUCAGGGGUUUGGUAGCCCAUCCAUAAGGUCUUCUUGAUGAUGGUGUCCAGCAGCCAGGAUUCAAGAAGCUCAGAAGCAGCAGUGGGAAACAAUAUAGGAAAAGGCCAUCCUCCUCCAAAGGAGUUGGUUUUCCUCCUGUCUCAGCAACUGUAAAAUUAUAAAUCAAAGAUUAAAAAGUUAAGCCACUGCUCAAGAGGAUCUUUGUAAAUACAAGGCUUAAACAAAACCCGAUGACAGAUUCAUUGGCAUCUAAGUGAAGUCUGUGGUUUUUCAGACAAUGGGGCAGAGACACAAGAACACACAGAUCAUGCCUAAGGAUUCUCCAUUCAUUUAUUUUGCUGUAUCCAAGAAAGAGGAAAAGUUAUAAUUGCUAUUAAAUGUAAGUGAAUCUGCAUGUAGACAGGAUGUAGAAUGAGUGGGCCAGGGCAGGGGGUGGGGAACAAACCGGGGGAAAAGGAAAGAGAGUCCACCUGAAACCAGCCACUGUUUCGUCACAGUAUUUCAUGGGGCUGACCUUCAUGGAGUUUGAUUUUGUGAACUGAGAGUUGAAUAAAUCAUAAUAUUUGGGGAUAAACUUGGAUUUAAGAUCCCAUGUAAAGUGAGAAAUGCAGUGACCCAAGCUUUAUCCAGUUCCUAGGCAACCAAAAUGAUUGAUUUCCAGGGUCAUUAACAAAUUAUGAGUGACAAAAACUUCACCCGAAGAUGGUCUAGGAGAAGCAUCACUAGUUUAGGGCGUCCCUGCCCAAAGCAUCACAGGCAAUGUAUUGUCAUGCUACUGCCAUCAUACUAGUCACCAAAUCAAUGACUAUCUUUAGCUGCUAUCCCCUGCCUUGCUGUGACAUUCUGUCCCCUUCAUCAAUCUCCAGGAAAUCAUUGUGCAUGUGCUAUUAUCCAUCCAUUCAAAUUUCUUUAAUAUGACAAAUACUAGUUAAAUAAGAAGUCUUCCAGUAGCUAGAUUUGAAUAUUUCAUACCAGAAUAUUAGCAAUCGGUGGCUUUAACAUUCCCACGGUAUAUUUGUAAUUUAAAAAUGGACUUACAUACAUGAAACUCUUACUUACUGGAAUAUGGGAAGAAGAGAGAGGAGGGGAUGAGUGAGCAAGGAAAGGGGCAGGAUUUGUCAUGCCUCUUAUUUAAUCUCACCACCAUUACACACCAACCACCACCCUCCAAACAGUGAGCUGCAGCAACUGUGCCUCCAGUGACACGGAACAGCUGCCAACCCCGGACUGAAAAAGCAGGUCUGUCCUCAGAGCACAUGAAGAAAAGGAUCCUUUUUAGAAAUGACAUCUAAGCCUAUGGAGAAACAUCCUAUAGAUAGCAAAGGUCAUGUCUGCAUUCCAGGUGUCUUUCUUGGCCCCAAACCUUUAUUUGCUUUUUACAAAGAAGCAGACUGAAAGGUGAGUGGCUUACCCAGUGUUACACAGGGACUGACUAAAAGAUAGGACCACAACUAAGCCUAGAUCUCCCAAAUCCUAGUCUACCACUCUGCCCAAGUAAACUCCUCUGAGCACAGCCCACUGUCUUUGCUCCAGACAUAGGCAGAAGGAUUAUAUUCUUCAAACUCUAGAGUGGUAUUUGGGUAGCAUCUGAGUAGUAAUUUCCCCUUCCUGGACAACAAUCUGGUUCAGUGGGUCUCGGGGAGGCACAGGAAUGUUAACAGGUUCCCUGGGGGAUUCUGGUCUGUGAGGUGUAGGAACCACCACUGUGCUUCUCUUGCCACUCCUCCACCUAUCAGCACCAUGCAGAUGGCCGGAAGGAGCCCCUGAGGGGCUGUUCUGGGGACAUCCUCUGGAUCCCAAAGAUCAAAGGGCUCUUGACCACUAGGGCACAAGUCAGAGCCCCGAAGACAAACACCAGCCUUGAAAUCUCAAAGAAAGAAUGUUGAAAAUGUGCCAGAAAGGUCUUCUCUUAAGCCCUGUUGACCUUAAUGACUUUGUGGCCAGCAAUAUCUCAGCUAUACCCUCAAGGUUCCUGUAUAACGAAUCUUCUAAAAUGUGCUGAGCGCCUACCUUGUGGAACAUUGUGCAGAGGGACUAAGACGUACAAAAAAAAAAAAAAAAAAAAAAAA
rnacentral:lncRNA from 1 species